CACAUCUUUACCUGCACAUGAGGAAAAUCACUCCUGUAGAAUGCAGUGGUUCAUCAGAACCUCUGGGGAUGUCCUGUGGAUUCUGUGGGUCCUGUGGGUUACAGGGUGGGUCCUACCUGGACCAGGCUGAUCCUGGACCAUCCCACAGAUGCUCAAUCAGAUCUGGAUGUGGGGAGUGUGGAACCCAGAUGUUCAGAGGGAGAUGAUGCCACAUCUGGUCCAGCUGAUGGAAGGUCUUGAAGUUCUCUGACUGGCCUCGACUGAAGAUGGUCGUCUCACUGGAUUUAAGGUUCAGAUGCUCAGUAACAAACUCCACCAGUGAGCCAACAGGGAAGCUUUAGGUUUAUUAAAUGUUGCUAUGAAGGUAUCGCUGUUUUUCUUUGUGAAUGCAAUGUGCUCCAACUGAAACUUGAAUUAGAACUUAGAAGUAAAUCCUUCCAUCUGAAAGGAUUUAGUUGCAUUAAUAACCUCAUAACAUUCUAAUUUUUAUUCCAGUCUUGGUUGGAAAUAGAAUCUCUGUAUUGAUUCAGGUAAAAACUGAACUUCACAGCAUGUUGGAGCAAAACAACCAGAUGAAAACUGUGAUGGUGUUGGAUUGUCAGACUGUAAUGUUGCAGCUCAAAGCAGCUUUUCUAUCUCAGUUCAUUCUGACAUUCAGCUAUGAAUCAACACAGCAGAUGGUGAUCCAUGCUGUGGAAGUCUCACAUCUCCUGAUUUAAUGGAGCUGCUUUGCACUUUUUACACUGUUUAUUCACCCACACUUUAUUUAAUAAAAGUCCCAUCUAGUUUUUAUGAGGAAUGUGAUGUUUUAAUUUCUCUGUGAAUAACUGCAGUCUAAUGCAACAGCUGGAGUUGUAACAUCUGUCCUGAUAUUGAUCAUGAAGUAUUGAUCAGAAUACUUAUGGUCAGCAGUCAUCCCUGAAGUUUUACAUUAAAAUCUUUACUUGUGUUGUAAACUUUGGUAAGAAGCAGAAACGUUAGCGUUGCCAUGGAUACAUGAGUGUUAAAUUCUGUCCAUGUUUCAUUUUGGGAAAUGCAGUCCAGUUCCAGAAUGUGGAGGAAUUUAGUCUCACAAUCACAGACGAUAAAUAUUAUCUGAAAGUCAGGUUAUUGUUGUUUAUCAGCACAAUACAAAAAGAUUCAUGUUAGAAAUAUUCCAGUUAAGACUCUAGAAUAUCAGGAAUUAUGUAAAUUUACCUCAAUAUGAAUGUUCAGGUUAAGAUUGUGCAGUGAUAUUUAUUAUGUAAGUUUAGCUGAUUAAAGUUUAUGACUCGGCACAACAAUAUAAUUUAUUAUUUAAAUUGACAUCAUUAUUAUAAUAUUUAGGGUCAGACCCUACAGUAUUGAGAUUAAGAAAUCAAAUAUUCUAUAAAGUGUAAAUACACUGAACUCAUUUGGAUAUAUUUAAGUGAGACUCUACAAUAUUAUUUAUGACACAAAUCUAUCUAAAUCAACAUUUUAAUCAUUUUUACUCCAAACAUUUACUGGACCAAUUUAAAUAUUAAAAUCACUCCUUUCUAAUCCUCUGCUGUACAUUCAAACCUGAGGCCUUAAAUAGAAACACACAAGUAUCUGAUUGAAGGAACUUCUGCAGAGUCCUGGUUCCAGAACAUGAUGAUAGAAUUAUAGACAAACUUUAACAAAAGCUGCCUGAGAGUUUACAGGUUUUUAUGUUAGAUUUCUUCAGUAAUUUAAUGAGUGUUAUCAGCAAAAAUCAAGUGUUCAUUUGAUGAACUUCAUUUCCUAAAACAUCCAGAAUUGGAGCUCAUAUCUUUGGCAGCUGUAAAGUUCCUGCUCCUUCAAAGUUCACAACACAAUGUAUUAAUUCCUAAAACACUCUCAGUG
ensembl:lncRNA